UCCUGGCUGGCUCAGUUGGUAGAGCAUGUGACUCUUAAUCUCAGGGUUGUGAGUUUAAGCCCCAUGUUGGGUG
rnacentral:tRNA from 1 species